CAUGGCCAAUGUCUGCUAGAAGAGGCUCUGAUGUCACACAUGGAAUUGGUGCUUCUCCUCCUCCAUCCAGCUCUUUAGCCAGAAAUUUCUCAACAUGCUGUUCUAGUUCGAUCUUUCGAAAUGCACUAGAUAACAACUGACCGGGAAUUCACUAAGCUAUAUACCGAGCUAGAUUCAAUACUCCAAUAGUGAAUAAGUUAGACAGAAGCAAAUCAUAUGAAGCUUUAAGAACAUCAUAGUCCCUUUCGAGCUGCUUUGUCUUCCAUCGAGCACGACGAUUCUGGAACC